AUUGAACGCUGGCGGCAUGCUUUACACAUGCAAGUCGAACGGUAGAGGGGGCAACCCCUUGAGAGUGGCGAACGGGUGAGUAAUGCAUCGGAACGUGCCCAGUCGUGGGGGAUAACGCAGCGAAAGCUGUGCUAAUACCGCAUACGAUCUCUGGAUGAAAGCGGGGGACCGAAAGGCCUCGCGCGAUUGGAGCGGCCGAUGUCAGAUUAGGUAGUUGGUGGGGGAAAGGCUCACCAAGCCAACGAUCUGUAGCUGGUCUGAGAGGACGACCAGCCACACUGGGACUGCGGCACGGCCCAGACUCCGACGGGAGGCAGCAGUGGGGAAUUUUGGACAAUGGGCGAAAGCCUGAUCCAGCCAUUCCGCGUGAGUGAAGAAGGCCUUCGGGUUGUAAAGCUCUUUCGCAAGGGAAGAAAACUUAAGCUCUAACAUAGCUUGAGGUUGACGGUACCUUGAUAAGAAGCACCGGCUAACUACGUGCCAGCCGCCGCGGUAA
rnacentral:rRNA from 1 species